rnacentral:rRNA from 1 species
AACGUGGGUAACCUGCCCAAGAGACUGGGAUAACACCUGGAAACAAAUGCUAUUACCGGAUAACAACACUACACGCAUGUCUAGAGUUUAAAAGAUGGUUCUGCUAUCACUCUUGGAUGGACCUGCGGUGCAUUAGCUAGUUGGUAAGGUAACGGCUUACCAAGGCAAUGAUGCAUAGCCGAGUUGAGAGACUGAUCGGCCACAUUGGGACUGAGACACGGCCCAAACUCCUACGGAAGGCAGCAG